GAUGAACGCUGGCGGCGUGCCUAAUACAUGCAAGUCGAGCGAACAGAUGAGGAGUUUGCUCUUCUGACGUUAGCGGCGGGCGGGUGAGUAACACGUGGAUAACCUACCUAUAAGACUGGGAUAACUUCGAGAAACCGGAGCUAAUACCGGAUAAUAUAUUGAACAGCAUGGUUCAAUAGUGAAAGACGGUUUUGCUGUCACUUAUAGAUGGAUCCGCGCCGCAUUAGCUAGUUGGUAAGGUAACGGCUUACCAAGGCAACGAUGCGUAGCCGACCUGAGAGGGUGAGCGGCCACGCGGCAGAGGAGACACGGUGCAGACUACUACGGGAGGCAGCGGGAAGGAAUCGACCGCGAGGGGAGAAAUGCUGACGGAGCAACGCCGCGGUGGAGAAGAAGGUCGGCGGGUCGUAAAACUCUGUUAUUAGAGAAGAACAAAGGUGUAAGCAACUCUGCACGUGACGAUGCUACCAGAACAGAAAGCGGCUAACAACGUC
rnacentral:rRNA from 1 species